UCCCACGGCGGAGACUGUUUCUACUCUCUCACCUUGAGGUGUCGGCGCAUUCUCCCCCUGCUCUCUAUCUCAUCUCCAGCUGUUCUCCGCCCUGCCCUUCCAAGUGCCGUUCCCGGGAGCUGUCUCUUACUAAACCACACCUUGACCUCACCUUCCUAGGUUCCUGCCACCGGGCAGUAAUAACUGAAAUCUACCUUGAAGUUUAUGGGGUAUGUACUUCAAAGUGGAAUUGCAGAUUAUAUGGUAAUUCUAUGUUGAACUUUUUGAGGAAUCACAAAAGUUAAUUUGUUUUUAACUUUAUGGAUGUGUUCAAGCAAAUAAGGAAGC
rnacentral:lncRNA from 10 species